rnacentral:rRNA from 1 species
UACGUAGGGUGCAAGCGUUAAUCGGAAUUACUGGGCGUAAAGCGUGCGCAGGCGGUUUUGUAAGGCUGUUGUGAAAUCCCCGGGCUCAACCUGGGAAUGGCAAUGGAGACUGCAAGGCUAGAGUUUGGCAGAGGGGGGUAGAAUUCCACGUGUAGCAGUGAAAUGCGUAGAUAUGUGGAGGAACACCGAUGGCGAAGGCAGGUCUCUGGGCUGACACUGACGCUCAUGCACGAAAGCGUGGGGAGCAAACAGG